GUUCAGGGAUAGCUCAGAUAGCAGAACAUGAGACUCUUAAUCUCAGGGUUGUGUGUUCGAGUCCCACAUUGGGUUGGACU